UACGGAGGGUGCAAGCGUUGAUCGGAAUUAUUGGGCGUAAAGCGUACGUAGGUGGUUUGUUAAGCCAGCUGUGAAAUCCCCGGGCUCAACCUGGGCACUGCAGUUGAAACUGGCAAGCUAGAGUAGGGUAGAGGGGUGUGGAAUUCCAGGUGUAGCGGUGAAAUGCGUAGAUAUCUGGAGGAACAUCAGUGGCGAAGGCGACCCCCUGGACUCAUACUGACACUGAGGUACGAAAGCGUGGGGAGCAAACAGG
rnacentral:rRNA from 1 species